rnacentral:rRNA from 1 species
GCAUCUAGAGCUAGGCUCUUCAAGGAGUACAAGGAGGUGCAGCGAGAAAAGUCAGCCGACCCAGAUAUCCAAUUAAUCUGUGAUGAUUCAAAUAUAUUCAAAUGGACUGCUGUAAUCAAGGGCCCAUCGGAGACACCUUUUGAAGGUGGCGUAUUUCAACUUGCAUUCUCAAUUCCCGAGCAGUAUCCUCUACUGCCUCCGCAAGUCCGCUUCAUCACCAAAAUUUUCCACCCAAAUGUUCACUUCAAGACUGGUGAAAUAUGCCUGGAUAUAUUGAAGAAUGCAUGGAGCCCUGCGUGGACCCUACAAUCUGUUUGCAGAGCCAUUAUUGCGUUGAUGGCCCAUCCGGAAGCAGACAGCCCACUUAACUGCGACUCAGGCAAUCUUCUCCGCUCGGGCGACAUCAGAGGCUACCAGUCCAUGGCGCGGAUGUACACCAGGCUAGCUGCCAUGCCAAAGAAAGAGUGA